GGGCCGUUAGCUCAGUGGUCAGAGCAGGGGACUCAUAAUCCCUUGGUCGCUGGUUCGAACCCAGCACGGCCUA
rnacentral:tRNA from 1 species